CUAUCAAUCACGAUGUUAUGGAAUACAUCUCUCUCUCUCUCUCUCUCUCUCUCUCUCUCUCUCUCUCUCUCUCUCUCUCUCUCUCUCUCUCUCUCUCUCUCUCUCUCUCUCUCUCUCUCUCUCUCUCUCUCUUGCUCUCUCUGUGCAACAUUCCUGAAAACUUGCAUAGGUGAGUCAAAACAUGCCUUGCCUUGAGGGAAAACAAACAGCUUGGUUUCAUGUACUCUGUUCUUCUUUAUCCUCUUCUGUACAUAUUAAUAGUAUCUUUAUGACACUGUAUUCAUGUCUGUCUCCCCCUGUAUCCCUCUUUUAAACUCACACCUUUCAUGCACGCUUUGUUUCAUUCACACACAUACAAUUCCCAAUAUUUUUGGUCCAUCGUAAGUGAGAAUGAUUCAGGUAAUUGGAUAACUAUGUGUUGAGACAUGCCCACUCUCUCAAGGUCUCUGUUAUCUAUAUCUAGACAGCAAACUGUUUUGCUGUCUAGUCUAAGUUAACGUGCACACCCUGUUUCGAUACUUCUGCCAAACUACUCUCUGUUCUCUGACCCAGAGGUGAGGAAUAUUUAUUUCAGUACUUGGGGACAACCAGACUGCAUUCUUCAACAGUGAUGUCACUCAAGCUGACACACAUAACACUCGCACACAUGCAUUCUGACGCCACACACUCCCACACUUUCGCACACACUGCUGCUACUGUCUAUUAUCUAUCAUGUUGCCUAGUCACUUUACACCUAUCAAUAUGUACAUACUGUAGCUACCUCAAUUACCUCGUGCCCCUGCACAUCGACCCGGUACUGGUACUUCCUGUAUACAGCCAUGAUAUUUUACUCAUUAUUGUUAUUAUUUUACUUUUCCAUUUCUGUAUCUUUAACUCUGCAUUGCCGGUAAGUAAGCCUUUCACUGUUAGUCUACACCUGUUUUUUACGAAACAUGUGACAAAUACAAUUUGAUUGAUUUUAUUUGACACACACAGACCCACACACACAAAUACUUACAAACAAGCUAAAUACACAUGUCUGUGGAAAAUUAUCUGUGACUUCUGGAUCAAGCUGUCCCAAAGCAAUCGCGGGAUUGGUCUAAACUGCAGGGACAGUUUCAGUCCUUAGCCAAUAGAAAAUACAGAAUUUGUACAGCUGACGUGGAUUCUGAAAACACGGAAGUAAAGCUUUGGUAAGUGCAACAGAAAGUACUAAUGCAUAAAAUUCACAACUAAAUAUAUCAUUUACAAACAUCUGUCUAACCGUGCAGGUGGUGUUUCGUUUAAUUGCGAAAGAGAAAAUGCCAGUGGUGGCAACAGAGAGAUAUGGCUCCCUCGAGUCAUGGAAAUAUCAGUUGAAGGAUGGAGUAAUGGAGAGAGAAAGAGGAGGGGGCAACGGUGGGACGACUGGAAAAACCAUCAUUGGCGUGUUCAAAAGUGUUUUCUUGCCCCAGAGGUAUCCAGAGAGUGUCAGUGGCGAUUACCUGCAGUAUCAAUUUUGGGAUACUCUUCAGAGUGUUUUCUUGCCCCAGAGGUAUCCAGAGAGUGUCAGUGGCGAUUACCUGCAGUAUCAAUUUUGGGAUACUCUUCAGGCCUUCUCCAGUUCUCUUUCUGGUACUCUUUAAGGGGUGUUGGUGUUGGAAAGAGGCAACAGUUGCUGCUGCAACAAUUACCUGGUUAUUACGAGAUGGCACAGGCAUGCUGGGAAGAACCCUAUUUGCCUGGCUUAAAGGGAAAUACUGGCAUCCUGUCGGGCUGUAUCACCGCAUGGUACGGCAACUGCUCCGCCCACAACCGUAAGGCUCUCCAGAGGGUAGUGAGAUCUGCUCAACGCAUCACCGGGGGCAAACUACCUGCCCUCCAGGACACCUACACCACUCGAUGUCACAGGAAGGCCAUAAAGAUCAUCAAGGACAACAACCACCCGAGCCACUGCCUGUUCACCCCGCUAUCAUCCAGAAGGCAAGCCUAAGAGAGUUUACCCAGGAUCGGAUCCACUCUUUGCGUCCGUGGACUACACCUCUCCGUGGCCUUCCUCCGCUGAAGAUCUAUUGGCGGAUUGGAUUGUCUGACUGACCGACUGACUACAACCUUUUUGUAUACGGUAUUUCAUUUGUUUUGAUGUGAGGUAUACUGUGAUGAUUUAUGUAGUUAGUUGUAGUUGAGGACUUAGUAAGAGUUGAUACGCUUUAAAGUUCUGUGGUAAAAUUAUUGUUAUAUUGAUUGUAUGUUUAGUACUGGGUUUACGCUACACUGAAUGAACGGACAAACAUUGCGUGACAAAAGUCACUUGAGUUCACUGAACUCUUUUACCGGGCUGGACUCUUUUUAGGCCCGAGGUACAGGACAUUUCUGGAGGAACCAGAACUCAUUGUGAUAUUAUUAUAUGUGUGUGUGUAAUCAUUGUUGUUGCUAAUACAACCCACGCAACAGAAUAUAGUUGUUUUUGAAGUUCUUUCCAAUGUUUUAAGGGUUUAUGAAAAGUUUAUUUCCAUCCUGACUUUUACAUAAGUCCUUUGUAUUGGUGUAGACUUGACGGACCAGAUGGGACUCAUUCCCACCCAAACUAAAAGGAGAAACCAAUGUUUUCUCUGGUAGGCACAACCUACCUGGCACCCCUAUAAAUAAUAACCUCAAGUCAAAACCGUUACAAUACAUAUAUACUGUACUCUAUAUCAUCUACUGCAUCUUUAUGUAAUACAUGUAUCACUAGCCACUUUAAACUAUGCCACUUUGUUUACAUAUCCUACAUUACUCAUCUCAUAUGUAUAUACUGUACUCUAUACCAUCUACUGCAUCUUGCCUAUGCCGCUCGGUACCAUCACUCAUUCAUAUAUCUUUAUGUACAUAUUCUUUAUCCCUUUACACUUGUGUGUAUAAGGUAGUAGUUUUGGAAUUGUUAGUUAGAUUACUCGUUGGUUAUUACUGCAUUGUCAGAACUAGAAGCACAAGCAUUUCGCUACACUCACAUUAACAUCUGCUAACCAAAUACAUUUGACUUGAUUUGAAAAUGAAUAAACUGGACUCUGAGGCCAAAAAAUGGAGGUAGGGAUGUCAAGCAUCACCAAAGUGAGUGUUCAUUGUGUGUUAUGGAAUUAUUGGGUAUGUCAAUGCUUGUGCUGUUUUCCUUAGGCUUGUUGCUGUUGUCCUCAAUGAUUUCGCCAUGUUCAUGGAAAUACUGGCUCCUAACUUCCCAACAUGCUUCACUCUAACUGUGCUCUGCUGGAAUAUUCAAGGUAAAGCUGAAUACCAUAUUCUCACCAUGCCCGCAGAGACAACAUGGCGGACAUCUCUGUCAAAGAUGGCAGCCAGGUGCUCCAUACAUAUUUCUCUACUUGAUGAUACAGUAACUAACCCAUGGCUUUUACUGUCCUGUCUGCUUUAAGAUGAGGAUCUUAUUGUAAUUCAUGUGUUCUUUACAGGAGACUUUAGUGAAUCUGGCUGGACUGCUGGUCAGUCUGAUCCUUAUUCCUCUUGUCACUGACAAUCCACUGUCAGAAGACCUUAAUUUGGCCAUGAAAAACAACCACAAGCCCUUCCAUAUCGGAGUCAAACGUGGUGUAUAACAUCUUUCAGUAAUCCACCAACUGCUGUACUCAGUUGUGAUGUGGGUUGUUUCUAGAUGGAUGUACAGUACAUCAUGAUAGAUGGUGUAUGUCAUCUGAGUGUUAUUGAAUGUGCUAUUGAAUGAGCCCUUAGGCUCUGUGUGUCUUUGUUUGGGACCAGAUGCAUCUGUAUGUGAUGAGAUCAGGGCUGUGUGCCGAGCAGUGUGCCUCUGCACUGUGUUACACCCUGUCUCUCCACUAGAGGGGGCUCUCAAACAACUCUCAAUGUCACACAGCAACAGUGAGCCUUUAAUGAUCAUCUUUACAUGACAGUUUAAACCAAUGUCUUUGUCAAUGCUGUGUUAUAACUCUGUUAUCCCUUUUUCCUCUGUUAUCCUUUUCCCUUAAGAUCAUUGGUAGCUGGUGCAUGAGAGUCAUAAACUUAUGGACCAAAUUUUUCAGCCAUUCCUCAAAGGUAAGCUCAGUGUAACAAGGUGUGCUCAGUCAGUAGCUGUUUACUCCCACCGUGUAUGUUGGGAUGUCAGUGGCGUCUGUUCAGCUAAACCUAGGGUAUGCCCCUUGUUACGCACGCCUCUAUGAAGAGGGAACGCGACACCCUGCUACAACUAAACUCUCCGUGAAGUGAAAAAGGUAUGGACUGUAGGUGCGAGUAAGGAUGACAGACAGAAUGUGGUACCGUUUACAAGGACUUUAUUCCUUUACACUGUAAUAUGGGGAAAAGGGGCUGGACGGAACCAAAGCAAAGAAAGUAAAUCUCAAAGCCCCCCCCCCCCUCUCCUAUCUUACCUGCCUACCCACUACUUACCUAAUUUAGCACCACCUGAUGCCCUAACCAAAAUACAGGGGGUGGUCCACCCAGGUCUUACCUAGUGUGCCUAGACAGCGAAUAUGCUACGGGUAUAUGUAUGCCCGCGGGCCUCUUGCCUAAGCACUCCCUAGGUGCCUUCCCCUUCCCCCCUGGGAACAAAUGAAACAGAAUAUUAAACAAUUUUCAAACAAACUAAGAAACAAAGGAUGUCAAAUAAGCUCUCUGAGCAACAAACUCACUAAACAUACCAACUCUCAGCAAUGAACUCCCAGCAAAAUCUCUAGCAAAUCUACUUCCAGCAAAAUCAACCUCUCAAAAUCAACCUCUCUCAAAAUCAACCUCUCUCAAAAUCAAUCUCUCUCAAAAUCAAUCUCUCUCAAAAUCAAUCUCUCUCAAAAUCUCUCUAGCAAAUCUACCUCCAGCAAAAUUCUCUACUCCUGCACAGAACACUGGCUUUUAUAUAGCUUCUGGUAUAGGUAAUUGGAGACAGCUGUCUUGACGAGGGGGCGGGGUCAGCUCUCCAAUUAGCCCUGGAGUCGACCAAUCAGCUGCUUGAUGGAUUUCAGGAAGCCAUUUCCUUAAAAAAACACAUGCAAACAUACAAACUACAACACAUAAACUGGGGAACGUAACACCCCUCUCCCAAGGAAUUGUUUGGAAGUUGAAGCUCAUUUACUGCAUUUCUAGACAGUUCAAAAUGCUAUUUGGAGAACAGCAAAAAAACAAUUAAAAUGAUCUCAGCCAUUAAUUAUCACCUCAAUAUUGGGUUUAAAGGUCUGUGGAAUGGUGUGUAAAAUGUCAACCACUACUCAACUUCCUAAAUUGCCUCAUUUACUUGUGAAACAGCACAUACAGUGAACAUGAAAUAGAUGCAUAAUACAGGCUAACAAGUCACAACAAGGACGAUUUUCAAAAUGCCGAUAUCAAUGUUAUUUUAUUAUUAUUCUUUUAUCCCAGGCCCCGUAGGAAGGCUUUUGACUUUUGAUAGGCCGUCAUUGUAAAUAAGAAUUUGUAUCGGGUGCAUAAAACAGCUGGCCGUGAAUGUAAACUAUGCCAGAUAAAUCAUAAACAUGCAUUGAAAUAAAAAGCAUAGGCCUUUUUUGGUACAUUUUAUACAACAACUUCAGAAUAAACUUGACUUUAACUUUAACCAUCUUAUGUCCAGUGUGAUAUUACCAGCCCCUGAAAGUAAGCCUCUGACUAGCCUGAUACAUCAUCCAGUGAUAGCCAGCUAGCUAGUCACAGUAUGGCAUAAUGCAAUACAAUAAAUAUUUGGAAAAUGAAUAAAAUUACAUUUGAACUUAGUCUGCCCGUUUUUCUGUGGGAUUGGUCCUUUUGAGACAAAAUAUUAAAAGGAAUGUAGUGGCUCCCGAGUGGCUCAGCGGUAUAAGGCACUGCAUCUCAGUGGAAGAAGUGUCACUACAGUCCCUGGUUUGAAUCCGGAUGUGAUUGGGAGUCCCAUAGGGCGGCGCACAAUUGUCCCACUGUUAUCCGGGUUUGGCUGGGGUAGGCCAUCAUUGUAAAUAAGAAUUUGUUCUUAACUGACUUGCCUAGUUAAAUAAAGGUUCAAAAGAAAUUAUAUUAAAUCAGAAUUUACAAACGUGGUCCCAUUUCUCUGCUUGCCUCAUGUCAAAAUAAGUCAGUGACAAGUGAUCGCUUCCCACUGGGCACACUGUCAUUUCCACGUGGAUGAUUGGCUAAUAGUUGGUUGAUAUGUUGAUCAAUGAGAUUCCAACCUAUAUUGACCCACUCAAAAAGACAGCCAAAAGAAAUGCUGUGACUUUAAAUGGUUCUUUUUCGAAAUAUCUGAUUUUGAUCAUUAUUCACACUCAAUACUUUAUCAAUACUUUGUAGAAGCACCUUUGUCGUCGAUUACAAUUUUGAGUCGUCUUGGGUGUAUCUGUAUCAGCAUUGCACAUAUGGAUUUGGGGAUUUUCUCCCAUUUUUCCCUGCAGAUUUCUCAAGCUCUGUUAAGUUAGAUGGGGAGCAGCGGUGAACAGCAAUCCUCAAGAAUUUCCUCACAUUUACAUGAGAUUCAAGGCUGGAUUUCAGCUGGGCCACUCAAGAACUUUCACAUUCGGGUUCUGAAGCCAUUCCAGCGUUGCUUUGGUUGUAUGCUUGGGGUCACUGUCCUGUUAGACUGGGGCCGUGACCAAGUUAAGGUCAUUUACAUUCUGAAGUAUGUUCUCAUCAAGGAUUUGCCUGUGUCCUUGCCGCUAAAAAGCAUCCCCAUAGCAUGAUGCUGCCACCACCAUGCUUCACGGUAGGGAUGGUGUUCAACAGGUGAUGGGCUGUGUGUGCCUGGUUUUCUCCAGACAUAGCCUUUAUGCUCUGUGUCUUUCACAUGCAUUUUUGCUAACUCCAGGCGUGCUGUCAUGUGCCUUUUUCUCCGGUGUGACUUCCAUCUGGUUAUUCUCCUAUAAAACCCAGAUUGGUGAAGUGCUGUAAAGACGGUCGUCCUUCUGGCAGGUUCUUCCAUCUCAGCCAAGGAACUCUGUAGUUCUGUCAGAGUGGGCAUUUGGUUCUUGGUCACCUCGCCCAGAUGCUCAGUUUGGUCGGACAGCCAGCUCUAUGCAGAGUCUGGAUAGUUCCAUAUUUUUUUUACAUUUCCCAAUGAUGGAGACCACUGUGCUCAUGGAAACUUUCAACACUAUAGAUAGUUUUAUAGCCAUUUCCAGAUGUAUUCCUCCUCACAAUUGUAUCUAGUCGAUCACCGGACAGUUCCCUGGACUUCAUGGUAUAGUUUCUGCUCUGACAUGCGCGGUCAACAGUGGGAACUUAUGGACAGGUGUGUAUCUUUCUAAAUAAUGUCAAAACAAUUGAAUUGGCCACAGGUGGACUCCAAUCAAGUUCUAGUGACAUCAAGGAUGAUCAGAGUAUAUUGGAUGCACCCGAGCUCAAUUUGGAGUGUCAUAGAGAAGUGGUGUGAAUACUUAAGUAAAUAAGAUAUUUCUGGGAAAAAAGUUCAAUGUAAUCAAUUUUGAAUUCAGGCUUUAAUUCAAUAAAAUGUGGUAUGAAUAAUAUAAUUUAAGGGGUAUGAAUUCUUUCUGAAAAAGGGAUUGAUGAUCUAAUUUUAGUGUCACUGUCACGGUUGUCGGAAUAAAUAUCGGACCAAGGCGCAGCGGAUGUUGAGUUCCACAUAAUUUCAUGAUAAAGUGAAACUUAGCAAAGACAAAAACAAAUAAACUAACUAACAACGAACCGUGACUACAGAAUGCCCACAUAGAAAUAAUAAACUAGAAUACAACAGACAUACAUAUACUAAAUCACCCCCUAGACUGGACGCCAUGCUUAGACUGGGCACCGGGGAAGGCUUCAGCCAUGGAGCUGGAGGUUCCGGACUGUGGACCGUCUCAGGAGGUUCUGGACCGGGGAUGGUCGCCGACGGUUCCGGACCGGGGACCGUUGCUGGAGGUUCCGUACUGGGGAGGCGCACUGGAGGCCUGAUACGUGGGGCCGGCACAGGUGGCACGGGACUGGUGACACGCACCUCUGGGCGAGUGCGAGGAGCAGGCAGAGGACACACUGGACUGGGAAGGUGCACUGGAGGCCUAGUGGAUGGAUCCGGCACAGGUGGCACCAGACUGCUAACCGGAUCCUCUGGUCGAAUGUUGAGCAGAACACACUUGCACGACAUCUCUCCCAACUUCGCCCUUGCCUCCCUGACAGUCUUUGGCUCUUCCCUCUGCU